AGCGAACAUUAGCGGCGCGCCUAACACAUGCAAGUCGCACGGAGUAGCAAUACUCAGUGGCGCACGGGUGCGUAACACGUAGAUAACCUGCCCUUAAGAGGGGGAUAACGUUCCGAACGGAGCGCUAAUACCGCAUAAUGCCAGUAAUGGAGAAAGGCUGGGACCAGCAAUGGCCAGUCGCUUUUGGAGGGGUCUGCGGCCCAUCAGCUAGUUGGUAAGGUAAUGGCUUACCAAGGCAAAGACGGGUAGCUGGUCUGAGAGGAUGAUCAGCCACACUGGGACUGAGACACGGCCCAGACUCCUACGGGAGGCAGCAGUGGGGAAUAUUGGACAAUGGGCGCAAGCCUGAUCCAGCCAUGCCGCGUGAGUGAUGAAGGCCCUAGGGUUGUAAAGCUCUUUCGCCAGGGACGAUAAUGACGGUACCUGGAUAAGAAGCCCCGGCUAACUUCGUGCCAGCCGCCGCGGUAACAC
rnacentral:rRNA from 1 species